AUACGUAGGUGGCAAGCGUUGUCCGGAAUUAUUGGGCGUAAAGCGCGCGCAGGUGGUUCCUUAAGUCUGAUGUGAAAGCCCCCGGCUCAACCGGGGAGGGUCAUUGGAAACUGGGGAACUUGAGUGCAGAAGAGGAUAGUGGAAUUCCAAGUGUAGCGGUGAAAUGCGUAGAGAUUUGGAGGAACACCAGUGGCGAAGGCGACUGUCUGGUCUGUAACUGACACUGAGGCGCGAAAGCGUGGGGAGCAAACAGGAUUAGAUACCCUGGUAGUCCACGCCGUAAACGAUGAGUGCUAAGUGUUGGGGGGUUUCCGCCCCUCAGUGCUGCAGCUAACGCAUUAAGCACUCCGCCUGGGGAGUACGGUCGCAAGACUGAGACUCAAAUGAAUUGACGGGG
rnacentral:rRNA from 1 species